ACUUUUGUCAUCUUUUAACACUCUCUCAAUAUAUCUCUGGUUUUCCCUCUCCUCUCUCUAAACCCCGCAAACCCUAACAUCUAUCAUUCUUCAUAAUUUACAUAACUAUCUUCUUCAUUCUCUCUCCAAAACACAUGAUUGAAGAUGAGUGUGCCGAGAAGCUUCAUUUUCUCUUCGGGUUCACGACGGCUGGUGAGUGUGCAAGUCGGAGUGAAUCGAGGAGGGUGGUCUUCGUUAUCAAUCCAAGGGUAAGAACAUGUUGUCAGGUAUGAGUAAGCAACAUUGAAACAUUAACAAGAAAAAAUGACGAUGUUCUUAUUUAUUUCCUUAUGUUAUUUUCCCUUUGUGUUGUUAAAUUUGGUGUAGAAAUGAGUGUUCUGGUUUUUCUGAUUUUGAGUAAGGAGUUUGUUGCUGCGAAUAGAAGCCGAACGAGUUAUUCCACAGAAGAAGUUUUUUCGAUUAAAAGUUUCGAAAAAUUGAGUCGGAGAAAGGAUCACAAUCUGUUUACAUUUGGUUUUGAAGUUUUGGAUCUAAAAUACAUAGUGAUAAGUUUGUAAUGCUGCAGGUAAAGAUUUCAUGGAUAGAAAGUUUACAUGUUAAAAAACGGAACCGUUGCGCUUCGUGAGAUCUGGUAAUGGCAAGAAAUGGUCAAAUUACAUAUACCAUAUACUCCUUGUAUAUGCAAAGGAUGGAUCUGUCAAGGAACGCCAAGAAGUCGUUGCAAGUUCAAAGGUUGAUCUUAAAGGUGAAACCAUUCUAUCAAACUUCCUUUAAUGAUUUGCGACAAGGACAUUUAUUUUCUCGAAAGCAACCAUUUUGUCUUGGUACAAAGUAAAUAUGAUAAUUCUUCUGACACUGUAUGGUUGGACUUGCACUUUUGGCUUUAGAAACGGUAAGCAUGGGAAAAUAUCAAGUUUGGUUAAACGAUCAUUACAAUCCUUUCAUACAAGCCUCAAUUUUUUCUUUUGUUAUAAAUGUUGGUAUAUAAGUCUGAACGAGACCUUUGAAAACAGUUCAACUUGGUUUUUCGGAGUUCAAUGAGAUUUUAAGCUACACCUAAUUGAAAGUUGGUCAACUUAAUGAUGUUGCUGCAGUAGUUCAUUCCUACGAGGACAAAGCGGCGCCUGGAUCUCACAUGACAAGACUUACUGCUCUUAAUGUACAUGUUCUCAGUAAAAUUCAUUCUUGGUUCUCAAAUUUUGCCAUUAGAUAGUGCCAUGCUUAGACAAUGACAAUUGAAAAAUACUAUUGGAAAGGUUCCUCCCAUGGGAUUAGUAUAUUUUUCUUCAACUGUAGUCUGCACCAACAUCACUAUUAGAAAGGUUCCUCCCGUGGGAUUAGUAUAUUGAGAUCACUGCAGGUGCAUUCCUGAUUUGUAAUUUGUUUAUACCUGCUGAAAUUUAUAUCAUUGCAGGUGAGUCUCCGCUGGUUGGGAAAACGGUGUGGAAACUUACUUAUCUUUUGUACUUUGUUCAUACUGUCAAACUGCCCUAUGAAAUUUAUAAGUUUGAUAUUUGCAGGACAUAUUUGAUCUUCCUUGUCACUUGGCUAGAGAUCAAGUAUAAGAGGCUAUUACUUAUUAAUAUCACUUUUUUUAGUUUCCAUUGUUAAGUACUUUAGUAGAUGGAUUGUUUGUGUUAUGGUUAUUAAUGGCUUGAAAUUUCUAAUAUGAAGGAGCACAUAGUCCAAUUACAAGAUGGUAAAAAAAAGCAUUAUACAAGAACGGGUGUUUUGGAUGUCGAUGGAUCUAAUUAUUGCUCAAACCAUGAUUACAAAGGAAUCUCUUGUCUUUAAAGAGUCAAUAGAUAUCAAUGAGAGUAAGGGAAGAUUUUGUUUAUCCAUUUGAUAGGUUUUGGCAACAGAACCAUUCUUCGAUUAUUAAAGAUUUAUACGACAAAUGGCUUGAGCAGCCUGAUUCUGAGAAAGCCAAGAGAUACAUGCAUACAAAAUAUCAUCCGGUUGAGAAAAGCAUCACUUCUCGGUUACAUAAUUGGUGAGGUGUGUUGAAACUCAUCAUCCAAUUUUGGUAGUGAACUAUGUUUUUAAUAAACUAUAAUGUAUUCUUGUACAAUAAUAAUGUAUAGUAUACCUCUUAUCUACACAUAUUUAUUUAGAUAGAUAGUAUAUCAUGUUUGUAAUAACUAUAAUGGAUUCUUAAUGUCAUUUUUAUUUUGUUAAACAUACUAUCAGUCCAAGUAUGGUAGAUAUGCUACUGCGCAUGUCUCUCUUUGUGUAUUCUUAAUGUAUUCUUAAUUCUAUUAUGCUUUUAUUCGGUUAACUCUCUGAAACAUGCAUUUAGAACUGUGUUGUAGUUUAUUCAAAGUUAGGUUAGGGAUUCUUUUGUUGAGGUGAUAAAUAUAUAUCCAGCAAAAAUAUAAAGUAUCAAUAUAAAUUAAUUAAACAAUAUUUACAUGUGUAAUUCAAAUUGGUUUACGAUGUAUCUUGUAGAUACCUACCUACUUAUUGUAGAUGAUGGUUUACACUAUAGCUAGCAUAGAUCAUUGUUUGAUUGUAGAUUUGCGUUUUUUUGUAUUCUGUUAAGUUUUGAGGAUUCAGUGGAAUAAUGGUUGAGUUUUGAUAUCGCAUUAUACAGGUUCAUGAUACAUAUUUCACAACUGUCUUGCUUGGAGAGUGCAAUUUUCUUGCAAUUCAGUGGAGUAUAGCAAGUGGCCUAUUCUAUUUUUUAGAGACUUUGCAAUUUCUUUUGAGAAAAUGCAUCAUAUUGGUGUUCUUACAAAUCUAACCAAACAUACAAGUGAUUUGCAAAACGGUUUCUGCAUAGAAGGAUCCAAAGUGCACAAGUUAACCUUUACAUACUUAUUAUUAUAUAGCCAAUGCAGGGCUUGACGAUUAACAAUUACCGUGAUAAAAUUAUUCUCAAGCUAAUAAUUCUUAACAUCUUUUUUGUUAUGUGCAGGCCUUAUGGGGUUGUCUCUUUCUUAUGCCUUUACCUUGACAAUAACCCAAAAUUUUGGAAUAGAUGGUUUUCCAACUUAUCUAACUAUCGUAUAUCUAUUGAAAGAAUCAAAUAAUUCAUUCAUAUACCAGUUGAGCCUCCUGCCAUUAUGGAUAAUAAUCGGCUCCCAUCUUUUGCAGGCAGUCAAACCCCGAAUCUCUGAUAUCAACUUGAAAUAUGGAGAAACCUAUAUAUUUUUUUGCUGAUUCUUGUAUCAUAUUUUUUUCUACCUUUACUUUCAGUUUUCGUCUUUUUAUUUAUGAAGUGAACAAUAUUUUUUUCUCUCAUGCCUAUUUUUUACAUUGGUUUCAAAUGUGGGAUGUAGUGCUAUAUUUUAUGAAAUAAAUGCUUAGUUGUAUCCUCUUUAUGAUUUGGCUCCGAAAUUUUAGAUAUUGAGUGAUAUAUGCAUAGUGAGGAGAUAUUUGUUAUUUGUUGAACCAAAAUUUCGAGAUUAAUGUUAAUAAAUAAUGCAGGAACAAGUAAUAAUUGAUGAGGAUA